GACAGAGGAUGCAAGCGUUAUCCGGAAUGAUUGGGCGUAAAGCGUCUGUAGGUGGCUUUUCAAGUCCGCCGUCAAAUCCCAGGGCUCAACCCUGGACAGGCGGUGGAAACUACCAAGCUGGAGUACGGUAGGGGCAGAGGGAAUUUCCGGUGGAGCGGUGAAAUGCGUAGAUAUCAUUUGGAACGCCAAUGGUGAAAACAGCUCGCUGGGAAUGAUCUGACACUGAGACGCGAAAGCCAGGGGAGCGAACGGG
rnacentral:rRNA from 1 species